CGGGAGCGGAGGCCCCACUGGGCGGCCGUGCGCGCGUGCGGCCGCGCGGCUCUGGGCUUCCGCGCGCGCGACGAGCGGAGCGUGGACCCUGCGCCGGCUUCGGCGACUCUCCGGCCCGGAAUUGGGCUCCCCCAGGCGGCCACCUCGGCCGCGGGGCCGCGGAGACUGGGCGCCGGGGCGGAGGCAGGGGACCGGCGAGCGCAGGAGGGCCCCGCCUCGCCGUAUGCAGUGCGCGGGACUGCGCCUCCGCUUUCUGGGGAGACGGGGCGGUGUCAGGACUUGGACUAUGUUCCUGAUUUGUUCAGACUGCCAUGGCUCCAUAUAUAAAGGACAUUCACCAAAAAGUUUGGUUGGAAAAGCAAUGACUUUGACUUAUUAGAAGCUGGAAGGUAAAACUAAUAAUAAUAUUAGUAUCAAUUUUCUCUUAAUUAUAUAACAGUAAUUUUUCCUUAAGCUUUACAGAAAUUAAAAUAUAUGUGUCUUGUAGGUUAUGCUAAAUACAUCCUUAACUGAACAUAGUUCACAAUUUUAAGGCUAAAAAAUGUCUUAAACAAAGAUUCAAGAAAUUUUAUGAAACAAAGUUGCCAUCAUUUCUUGAGUGUAUUCUAUUGACAGUGAAAGUGUUGGUUGCUCAGUCAUGUCUGACUCUUUGUGACCCCAAGGACUGUAGCCCAGCAGGCUCCUGUGUCCAUGGGGAUUCUACAGACAAGAACACUGUAGUAGGUUGCCAUUCCCUUCUCCAGGG
rnacentral:lncRNA from 1 species